GCGGUGCAGGAUGAGCCCGCGGCCUAUCAGCUUGUUGGUGAGGUAACGGCUCACCAAGGCGACGACGGGUAGCCGGCCUGAGAGGGCGACCGGCCACACUGGGACUGAGACACGGCCCAG
rnacentral:rRNA from 1 species